rnacentral:rRNA from 1 species
AGAUUGAACGCUGGCGGCAUGCCUAACACAUGCAAGUCGAACGGCAGCAUGACGUGUAGCAAUACACGUUGAUGGCGAGUGGCGGACGGGUGAGGAAUGCAUCGGAAAUCUGCCCAGUCGUGGGGGAUAACGUAGGGAAACUUACGCUAAUACCGCAUACGACCGUGAGGUGAAAGCGGGGGAUCGAAAGACCUCGCGCGAUUGGAGGAGCCGAUGCCGGAUUAGCUUGUUGGUGGGGUAACGGCCUACCAAGGCGACGAUCCGUAGC